UGAGGAAUAUUGGACAAUGGGCGCAAGCCUGAUCCAGCCAUGCCGCGUGCAGGAUGACGGUCCUAUGGAUUGUAAACUGCUUUUGUACAGGAAGAAACAGUUCUACGUGUAGAACCUUGACGGUACUGUAAGAAUAAGGAUCGGCUAACUCCGUGCCAGCAGCCGCGGUAAUGCGGAGGAUCCAAGCGUUAUCCGGAAUCAUUGGGUUUAAAGGGUCCGUAGGCGGUUAGAUAAGUCAGUGGUGAAAGCCCAUCGCUCAACGGUGGAACGGCCAUUGAUACUGUCUGACUUGAAUUAUUAGGAAGUAACUAGAAUAUGUAGUGUAGCGGUGAAAUGCUUAGAGAUUACAUGGAAUACCAAUUGCGAAGGCAGGUUACUACUAAUGGAUUGACGCUGAUGGACGAAAGCGUGGGUAGCGAACAGGAUUAGAUACCCGUGUAGUCCCUGAG
rnacentral:rRNA from 1 species